rnacentral:misc_RNA from 1 species
CAGACUAGUGCUAAAGUUUUCAUCUUUAGCUUUCUUUUAGCUCUUUUAUAUAUAGUUGGGGCUUUUCCUUUUCAACUUUUUUGUGAGUUUGUUGAUUUGAGGGAAUGAAGGUAUCUACUUCUGGCUUCAAUUCUCAGCCUGAGGAAGGGGAGAAGAAAAGCCUGAAUUCAGAGCUGUGGCAUGCUUGUGCAGGGCCACUGGUCUCUCUUCCACAUGUAGGAACCAGAGUUGUGUAUUUUCCUCAAGGGCAUAGUGAGCAGGUUGCGGCAUCCACAAACAAGGAAAUAAAUGGUCAUAUCCCUAGCUAUCCUGGAUUACCACCUCAACUUAUUUGUCAGCUACACAAUGUGACCAUGGAUGCAGAUGUUGAGACUGAUGAAGUAUAUGCUCAAAUGACUCUGCAGCCACUAACUCCACAAGAGCAAAAAGAUGUGUGCCUUCUACCAGCUGAACUUGGGACCCCAAGUAAACAACCAAGUAAUUAUUUCUGCAAAACAUUGACUGCAAGCGAUACCAGUACCCAUGGUGGAUUCUCUGUCCCUCGACGUGCUGCAGAAAAAGUUUUCCCUCCUCUUGAUUACUCGCAACAGCCUCCUGUGCAAGAGUUGAUUGGUAAAGAUCUUCAUGGAAAUGAAUGGAAGUUCCGGCAUAUAUUUCGCGGCCAACCAAAGAGGCAUCUCCUGACGACAGGAUGGAGUGUGUUUGUAAGUGCGAAGAGACUUGUUGCAGGCGACUCAGUUAUCUUUAUCUGGAAUGAAAAUAAUCAAUUACUUUUGGGGAUACGACGUGCCAAUCGUCCGCAAACUGUUUUACCUUCCUCGGUAUUGUCAAGUGAUAGCAUGCACAUU